AACGAACGUUGGCGGCAUGGAUUAGGCAUGCAAGUCGCGGGAAUCCAGCAAUGGGGAACCGGCGUAAGGGGCAGUAAGGCAUGGGUACCUACCCCGGGGUUCGGGAUAGCCACCAGAAAUGGUGGGUAAUACCGGAUGACCUCGAGAGAGCAAAGGUCCGCCGCCCUGGGAGGGGCCCAUGUGAUAUUAGCUUGUUGGUGAGGUAACGGCUCACCAAGGCGAAGAUGUCUAGCGGGUGUGAGAGCACGACCCGCGCCACUCGCACUGAGACACUGGCGAGACACCUACGGGUGGCUGCAGUCGAGGAUCUUCGGCAAUGGGGGCAACCCUGACCGAGCGAUGCCGCGUGCGCGAUGAAGGCCUUCGGGUUGUAAAGCGCGAAAGUGGGGAGAAAAGCGAAAGUUUGAUCUAUCCACAGUAAGCUCGGGCUAAGUUCGUGCCAGCAGCCGCGGUAAGACGAACCGAGCGAACGUUGUUCGGAAUCACUGGGCUUAAAGGGCGCGUAGGCGGGCUGUCAAGUUUGGGGUGAAAUCCCACGGCUCAACCGUGGAACUGCCUCAAAUACUGACGGUCUCGAGGGAGGUAGGGGCGAGCGGAACUGAUGGUGGAGCGGUGAAAUGCGUUGAUAUCAUCAGGAACUCCGGUGGCGAAGGCGGCUCGCUGGACCUUUUCUGACGCUGAGGCGCGAAAGCUAGGGGAGCAAACGGGAUUAGAUACCCCGGUAGUCCUAGCCCUAAACGUUGGGUACUAGGUAGUAGACUAGACAUGGGUUCACUGCCGAAGCAAAAGUGCUAAGUACCCCGCCUGGGGAGUAUGGUCGCAAGGCUGAAACUCAAAGGAAUUGACGGGGGCUCACACAAGUGGUGGAGCAUGUGGUUUAAUUCGACGCUACGCGAAGAACCUUACCUGGGUUUGACAUCUAUGGGAAGGCGCUAGAGAUAGUGUCCGUCCUUCGGGACUCAUAGACAGGUGCUGCAUGGCUG
rnacentral:rRNA from 1 species